UACGUAGGGUCCGAGCGUUGUCCGGAGUUACUGGGCGUAAAGGGUGUGUAGGUGGCGCCGUAAGUCGGGUGUGAAAUUUCGGAGCUUAACUCCGAAACUGCAUUCGAUACUGCGGUGCUUGAGGACUGGAGAGGAGACUGGAAUUCAUGGUGUAGCAGUGAAAUGCGUAGAGAUCAUGAGGAAGACCAGUGGCGAAGGCGGGUCUCUGGGCCGAUACUGACGCUGAGGAGCGAAAGCGUGGGGAGCGAACAGG
rnacentral:rRNA from 1 species